CCAUUCCUUUCCUAAACCUAAGAGACAUCAGAACAUCAGAUAAUGGGGGACUCUCAUCUCAUCUGAAAAAUAUGGCGCAGGAGCUCCCUUCAGCUUCUUCUCGAUUUUUCUUAGAAAAUGAUUAGAUCCUAAGACCCUUAACAAGAAAAAUCGGAGACCCCUACACAACAGAACAACGACGCAUCUGGGAAGAAAAGGGCUUCUUCACCAUUUUUCUUCAACACCCAAAAAAAAAGAAAACGCUGCUCCAUUCCUCAUCUUUACACAAGAGACCCAAAAAUUAGACUUUCUCCCUCAGGCAGGUUUCAAAAUUUUCUUCCUCUGGUUUGGGGGCUUACUCACUGCUGUUGAUUGUUGAAGUUUCUACUGAGCUUCGAUCGAGUUUGUCUCGUUUUUUUUGAGAAAGAAGACUCGUUAAUGGCGGUAGCAAUCGGGGAGGAGGAUUUGGAUUUAGGUUGGAGUUAGUUGAGAUCCUUGAUGUAUAUCGAAAGCUUUGAGUUUGAAUUUGAAUGGUCACUGUAACACAAUAAUUUCAUGUUCUUAAAAAUUCUUUUAUGCAAUGUUAGACUGCAAUUUUGCACAUAUAUAGAUUCAUAUGAUCUUGAA